UCCGGUUUGACACCGGCAGUCUCCCUAGAGUGCCCGGCAUAACCCGCUGGUAACUAGGGACGAGGGUUGCGCUCGUUGCGGGACUUAACCCAACAUCUCACGACACGAGCUGACGACAGCCAUGCAGCACCUGUGCACGGACUCCGAAGAGGAACCGAUGUUUCCACCGGCUUUCCCGUGCAUGUCAAGCCCAGGUAAGGUUCUUCGCGUUGUACACCUGAAC
rnacentral:misc_RNA from 1 species